rnacentral:rRNA from 1 species
UACGAAGGACCCAAGCGUUAUCCGGAUUUAUUGGGUUUAAAGGGUGCGUAGGCGGGUUGUUAAGUCAGUGGUGAAAGCUCCGAGCCCAACUCGGAAACUGCCAUUGAUACUGACGAUCUUGAGUACAUUUGAGGUGGGCGGAAUGUGUCAUGUAGCGGUGAAAUGCUUAGAGAUGACACAGAACACCGAUUGCGAAGGCAGCUCACUAAGCUGUAACUGACGCUGAGGCACGAAAGCGUGGGGAGCAAACAGG